rnacentral:rRNA from 1 species
UACGAAGGGGGGCUAGCGUUGUUCGGAAUUACUGGGCGUAAAGCGAACGUAGGCGGUGUUCCAUGUCAGAGGUGAAAGCCUGGGGCUCAACUCCAGAAUUGCCUUUGAAACGGGGACGCUUGAGUCCGAGAGAGGGUGGCGGAAUUCCUAGUGUAGAGGUGAAAUUCGUAGAUAUUAGGAAGAACACCAGUGGCGAAGGCGGCCACCUCGGCUCGGUACUGACGCUCAGG